CCCAAGAAGGUUUGCAGGUAAACUAAAACUGGCAUAAUACAGGGAUGAUUAGCAUGGCUCCAGGGCAUAGAUGACACAUAAAUUGAGAAUGCAUUCUGUUAUUUU